rnacentral:rRNA from 1 species
GUGUGGUAAGAGCAAGCGCUUCCAUACCCCUGGAUUUGGCGGUGCUUUAGAUCCAUCUAGAGGAGCCCGUGCUAUAACCGUUAACACUCGUUAAACCUCAUCUUCUUUACUUAAGUCUAUAUACCACCGUCGUCAGCUUACCUUUAGAUAGACCUUAAAGUUAGCAACAUUGGUUUAGCCCCAGAUGUCAGGUCGAGGUGCAGCCCAUAAGAAGAGAAAGGAUGGGCUACAUUUCCCACCUAAGGAAAACAGAAAAUGCUUUGAUAUAAGCAUCUUGAAGUUGGAUUUAGCAGUAAGUGAAAAAUAGAGUGUUUCACUGAACCUGGCUCUUAAGCACGCACAAACCGCCCGUCGCUCCCUCCUAAGCAUUUUUUAUAAUAUAUAAUAAAUUAGCAGCAACUAAGGAGGGAAAAGUCGUAACAUGGUAAGUGUACUGGAAAGUGCACUUGGUUAAUA